rnacentral:rRNA from 1 species
UACGGGGGGAGCAAGCGUUGUUCGGAUUUACUGGGCGUAAAGGGCGCGUAGGCGGUCAGCACAAGUCAGUUGUGAAAUCUCCGGGCUUAACUCGGAAAGGUCAACUGAUACUGUGCGACUAGAGUGCAGAAGGGGCAACUGGAAUUCUCGGUGUAGCGGUGAAAUGCGUAGAUAUCGAGAGGAACACCGGUGGCGAAGGCGGGUCUCUGGGCCGAAACUGACGCUGAGGAGCGAAAGCGUGGGGAGCAAACAGG